GUUUUGAGUUACUGCACAAAUGUUUGGUUUGUCCAAGGCUCGGUUAGUACUUGGAUGGGAGACCGCCUGGGAAUCCCGGGUGCUGUAGACU
rnacentral:rRNA from 14 species